rnacentral:rRNA from 1 species
UACAUGUGGGGCAAGCGUUGUUCGGAAUUACUGGGCAUAAAGGGCGCGUAGGCGGCCCUGUGUGUCGGGUGUGAAAGCCCACCUCUUAAAGGUGGAAUUGCAUUCGAAACUACAGGGCUGGAGUGUCGGAGAGGAUGGCGGAAUUCCUGGUGUAGAGGUGAAAUUCGUAGAUAUCAGGAGGAACACCGGUGGCGAAGGCGGCCAUCUGGACGACAACUGACGCUGAGGCGCGAAAGCGUGGGGAUCAAACAGG